AGAGUUUGAUCAUGGCUCAGGAUGAACGCUAGCUACAGGCUUAACACAUGCAAGUCGAGGGGAAACGACAUCGAAAGCUUGCUUUUGAUGGGCGUCGACCGGCGCACGGGUGAGUAACGCGUAUCCAACCUGCCCACCACUUGGGGAUAACCUUGCGAAAGUAAGACUAAUACCCAAUGAUAUCUCUAGAAGACAUCUGAAAGAGAUUAAAGAUUUAUCGGUGAUGGAUGGGGAUGCGUCUGAUUAGCUUGUUGGCGGGGUAACCGGCCACCAAGGCUACGAUCGAGUAGGGGUUUCUGAGAGGAACGGUCCCCCANAUUGGAACUGAGACACGGUCCAACUCCUACGGGAGCA
rnacentral:rRNA from 1 species